rnacentral:rRNA from 1 species
AUUGAACGCUGGCGGCAGGCCUAACACAUGCAAGUCGAGCGGAUGAAGGGAGCUUGCUCCUGGAUUCAGCGGCGGACGGGUGAGUAAUGCCUAGGAAUCUGCCUGGUAGUGGGGGAUAACGUCCGUAAACGGGCGCUAAUACCGCAUCCGUCCUGAGGGAGAAAGUGGGGGAUCUUCGGACCUCACGCUAUCAGAUGAGCCUAGGUCGGAUUAGCUAGUUGGUGGGGUAAAGGCCUACCAAGGCGACGAUCCGUAACUGGUCUGAGAGGAUGAUCAGUCGCACUGGAACUGAGACACGGUCCAGACUCCUACGGGAGGCAGCAGUGGGGAAUAUUGGACAAUGGGCGAAAGCCUGAUCCAGCCAUGCCGCGUGUGUGAAGAAGGUCUUCGGAUUGUAAAGCACUUUAAGUUGGGAGGAAGGGCAGUAAGUUAAUACCUUGCUGUUUUGACGUUACCAAAAGAAUAAGCACCGGCUAACUUCGUG